CCGGUGAGAAAGGGUUUACUUUCCCCAUCGCGAUAUCGUCCGGUGGCGGUGGCGGCGAACGCCGUACCCUAGCUGCCUCCUGCGCCGCCACGGCCUCGUGCCCGCUCCUCGCUGCAGCACUCGCCGCCGACCAUCAACGUCGACCGCUCGCGGGAUUCCUCCAGUCGCUUCCCAUCUACUCCACCGGCGACUUCUCCAAGCGCCCGCCGCCAUGCGAUUCCCGCUGCUUCGCCGACCGCCCCUUCACCGUCGGCGGCCAUCUCUCUCCGCGGCGGCAACUCCAUCGUUCUGCUGCACGCGUCUGCUCGCCAGUGCGCUGCGGCCGGCUCCACCUCGCCCUCUCCUCGUGGCUUCCACCUCGCCCUCGCCUUGAGGACCUCUGCAACGGCAUCGCCGAGGUGAAGGUGGGGAUCAUGGUGAGGGAGGGGGAGCUCGGCCAGAUGGUGGUGGUCGGCAUCCGCCUCCACGACAAGAGCUCAUCUCAUAUAAAUGCACAAGGUCUUGGUGAUGGUUGGUCUCGACUCUUCACAUGUUAUUGCCCAGAUAUUUUUCUGAAAGUGUAAAUUAACAUGGCCUCUGAUUUCUGAAAGGUAAUCUUAUAAUCGUUCUUGUAGGCCUCUGCCAUUUAAAUUUGGGUGGGGACACUCAAUAAGACUUUGUGAAACAUGGCUAAUUCGGGUGUGAAGAUCAAAAUCUUAUCAAAAUACUACCAUGGAAUGACUAUGGACUAAAUCAGACCUUGACGUUUUGCUGUUGACAUUAAGGUUUCUUAAAUUUGUUCUCAUAGGCUUCCACAUAUUUUGCAUUUAAAUUUGGGUUGGCGUCACUUAUCAGGACUUUGUAGGUUUACAUGGCUACCUUGGAUGUGAGGAUCAACAUAUAACCACAGGUGCCCUUAUAUUUGUUCUCGUAGGCGCCUACAUAUUUUGCAUUUAAAUUUGGGGUCGGACUCACUCAUCAGGACUUUGUGGGUGUAAAUGGCUAGCUUGGAUGUGAGGAUCAAAAUAUCACCACCGAAUAAUUGUGGAAUAAAUGAGACUUCACAUUUAACUAAGGUUUGCAAUUUUCUCACACAGCGCUACAUUUCUAAUACCAAUGGAGGUCCCUGCGUGGGGAAUGGAUUUCAUGGGUGUCAACCGUCUUAUCAGCUUUGAUUUUUCAAAAUUGGCUUCUGCCUAUAUUCACAUUAUACAGGAAGAUAUCCAACUUUGGGCAUCUAAUUUAUGAUGUAUUAUUGUUCUGUUUUUAGUGUUUUGGAAUUUGUGAUCAAACCUAAAACAUGUUUCGGGCUUGUUUGGGCAAGAGCCUGAGGGGUUCUUUCUCUAGGAUUUUGAAUAUUCAAGUGUUGUGUAAUUUUGCAGGAAAUGCUACCAGAGGUUUGUCCCUCCUCCCUUAUGUUUGGUUAAUUAACCACCAUCUUUGGUAGACGUAUAACAGGCUACACGUGAUUGAAUGCUGACUGUACCUCCGCAGAAAGGUCGAGGGCAAGCGCUUCAAUUCCUUCCUUGACCUCUACCGCUAUGACCCAUGGGAGCUCUAGUGAUCCAUCCACCGGCGAUAUUGACAAGCUUUCAACAUCCAAUAUACAUGUGGAUCUAAGAAGUUUAUAACUCACCUGGUUAUGGCCUAUGUAUUCACAUUUUGGACCUGCUAUGUACUUAUGAAGGAAUAUGAAAACGUCACAACCAUGAGGUUGUGCUUUCUUGUUUCAGAGAAACUACAACCAGAUCAGUUACCGGAUUCAUCUGGUAUAACGAUAGUUUGGCGACGCUAUUGGCACAAGUGCUGAAUGCUGAUCUUCUUAUCAUGCUUAGUGAUGUGGAGGGACACUAUAGUGGUCCACCGAGUGAUCCUCAAUCAAAGGUCAUCCACACGUGCAUUACUGAAAAAUCUCAUGUAGGAAGAGAUGGAAUGCAAACUAAAGUGGCAUCUGCUGUUACUGCUGCAUCAAAGGGCGUACCUGCUGUAAUUGUGAGGUGACCACAACUUUUUUUUUUCUUGGUGUUAGAGCAUGAAAUUUUAUAUGCAUACCUACUAAAUAUUCCCAUUAGGUUAAGAUACUGCAAGCUACUAUAUGGUCAGUCAAACUGGCAGCUACCAUAUUUGUGCAAUUUUGGAACGCAGGGAGUACUAAUUAAACUAUUGCUGCUAUAAUUGGAUAUUCAAAAGUGCUCGAGUAAGACAAUUGGUAAUUAGUUAUGGAGAUUGGAGUUUUAAUGCAAGGGUUUAACAUUAGAUAAUCAUCUGCAAUGUUUGUGUUGAUAUAUAGUUUGAAUAACUUUCUUAAUUCUUAAGUACUCCUAUCAAACUGCGCAUCUUCGAAGUGGCUGGUGCCACGUUUGUUUGUGCUGUUGGUCAGGAAGCAGCUUAGCACACGGUGGCAUCAGACGAAAAUAACCAGAAUAGAAGGUUCAUCAAUAAAAUGUGCAAUUUAAUUUUCAAUCUGUUUACUUCUCUAGAGGAUCAUCUACCUCACCCAUUUUGAUCGGAAUUGUGUGUACGGAAAAAAUUUCACCAUGCAAGAAUACCAAGUUCGCCACCUUGAAUGCCUUAUAGGCACAAAGAGCCCUCAGUUCAGAUACUAUGUGUGCACAAUGAACAAGCCAUUUGUCUCACCCAGACAAAGGAUGUAUCUUGAUCAUACCGAGUUCCUGCUGCCGUAUCUUGAUCCUGCAGUGAACCAUCUGCGUAUAAAGCUCGCGGGAACCUCAAUUGCACAUCGAGUUCGCCUAAUGAAAGGAACAUAUGGUAGAGCAACCAUCACCACCAACUGGCAAAAUUUUGUGCACGAUGCUGGACUUCAAGAGAGAUAUAGUGGCCUUUGUAUUCAGCGCUCGUCGAACCAAGCUGUGCCUCCAUGUUCAACAACUCUAGCUGAAAUUAUGUAAUGAAAACAAGAUGUCUGUACAGAAAUAUCCACAUGGUGCUACCCUUUUGUCACUUGCUGUAACUCUCAUGAAGCAAAAUAAGUAUUCCCUUCGAUCCAUAUUACUUGUCUCAAA